rnacentral:rRNA from 1 species
UCUCAGUUCAGAUUGCAGGCUGCAACCCGCCUGCAUGAAGUCGGAAUUGCUAGUAAUCGCGGAUCAGCAUGCCGCGGUGAGUACGUUCCCGGGCCUUGUACACACCGCCCGUCACACCAUGGGAGCCGGUAAUACCCGAAGUCAGUAGUCCAACCUCGUGAGGACGCUGCCGAAGGUAGGAUUGGCGACUGGGGUGAAGUCGUAACAAGGUAAC